GAUGAAGAACGUAGCGAAAUGCGAUAAGUAAUGUGAAUUGCAGAAUUCAGUGAAUCAUCGAAUCUUUGAACGCACAUUGCGCCCAUUAGUAUUCUAGUGGGCAUGCCUGUUCGAGCGUCAUUUCAACCCUUAAGCCUAGCUUAGUGUUGGGAGACUGCCUAAUACGCAGCUCCUCAAAACCAGUGGCGGAGUCUGUUCGUGCUCUGAGCGUAGUAAUUUUUUAUCUCGCUUCUGCAAGCCGGCCAGACGACAGCCAUAAACCGCACCCUCUCGGGGGGCACUUUUUUAAUGGUUGACCUCGGAUCAGGUAGGAAUACCCGCUGAACUUAAGCAUAUCAUAAGCGGAGGA
rnacentral:misc_RNA from 1 species